rnacentral:lncRNA from 1 species
CUUAAUGCGUGUUGGUGAGAUUUUUAUGGUAAUUAUGUCAAAUUAUUCCAACAUAUGAGGAUCAAACUAUUGCUGGUACCGGCCCUCCUAGUUUGUAGAGCAGAUAGAUGGGUUAAUUUGAUUCAUAUCAUUGAUAUUUUAGCAUUUUGGAGAUCUACCAUUACUACUCGAUUAUUUAUAACUCAUGACACUAUAAUUUUACAACUACACCAAAUAUUACUUAAAAUUAUGGACCAGAUUGCCCCUAUCUUCAUCCUCAGCCACCUCCUUGCA